UACGGGAGGCAGCAGUGGGGAAUAUUGGCACAAUGGGCGCAAGCCUGAUCCAGCAAUGCCGCGUGUGUGAAGAAGGCCUUCGGGUUGUAAAGCACUUUUAUCGGGAGCGAAAUACCACGGGUUAAUAACCGUGUUGUCUGACGGUACCUGAGGAAUAAGCACCGGCUAACUUCGUGCCAGCAGCCGCGGUAAUACGAGGGUGCAAGCGUUAAUCGGAAUUACUGGGCGUAAAGGGUGCGUAGGCGGUUUGUUAAGUCUGUUGUGAAAUCCCCGGGCUCAACCUGGGAAUGGCAAUGGAUACUGGCAAGCUAGAGUGUGUCAGAGGAUGGUGGAAUUCCCGGUGUAGCGGUGAAAUGCGUAGAGAUCGGGAGGAACAUCAGUGGCGAAGGCGGCCAUCUGGGACAACACUGACGCUGAAGCACGAAAGCGUGGGGAGCAAACAGGAUUAGAUACCCGGUAGUCCACGCCCUAAACGAUGCGAACUGGAUGUUGGUCUCAACUCGGAGAUCAGUGUCGAAGCUAACGCGUUAAGUUCCCCGCCUGGGGAGNACGGUCGCAAGNCUGAAACUCAAAGGAAUUGACGGGGGCCCGCACAAGCGGUGGAGUAUGUGGUUUAAUUCGAUGCAACGCGAAGAACCUUACCUGGCCUUGACAUGUCCGGAAUCGAGCAGAGAUGCGGGAGUGCCUUCGGGAAUCGGCAACACAGGUGCUGCUGGCUGUCGUCAGCUCGUGUCGUGAGAUGUUGGCGUUAAGUCCCGCAACGAGCGCAACCCUUGUCCUUAGUUGCCAGCGAGUAAUGUCGGGAACUCUAAGGAGACUGCCGGUGACAAACCGGAGGAAGGUGGGGAUGACGUCAAGUCCUCAUGGCCCUUACGGCCAGGGCUACACACGUACUACAAUGGUCGGUACAGAGGGUUGCGAAGCCGCGAGGUGGAGCCAAUCCCAGAAAGCCGAUCCCAGUCCGGAUCGGAUCUGCAACUCGACUCCGUGAAGUCGGAAUCGCUAGUAAUCGCGGAUCAGCUAUGCCGCGGUGAAUACGUUCCCGGGCCUUGUACACACCGCCCGUCACACCAUGGGAGUGGGUUGCUCCAGAAGGCGUUAGUCUAACCGCAAGGAGGACGACGCCCACGGAGUGAUUCAUGACUGGGGUGAAGUCGUAACAAGGUAACC
rnacentral:rRNA from 1 species